GCGGGAGUGGCGAAAUUGGUAGACGCACCAGAUUUAGGUUCUGGCGCCGCAAGGUGUGCGAGUUCAAAUCUCGCCUCCCGCACCA
rnacentral:tRNA from 7 species